rnacentral:rRNA from 1 species
UACAGAGGGUGCAAGCGUUAAUCGGAAUUACUGGGCGUAAAGCGCACGUAGGUGGUUUGACAAGUUGGGUGUGAAAUCCCCGGGCUUAACCUGGGAACUGCAUUCAAAACUAUCAGACUAGAGUAGAGUAGAGGGAAGUGGAAUUUCCGGUGUAGCGGUGAAAUGCGUAGAUAUCGGAAGGAACACCAGUGGCGAAGGCGGCUUCCUGGACUCAUACUGACACUGAGGUGCGAAAGCGUGGGGAGCAAACAGG